rnacentral:piRNA from 1 species
CUGAGGUAUACUAUGGUACAA